rnacentral:sRNA from 1 species
AGUGUAUGUAUUUGCCUGUUGCUUAUGAUUCACAGUGUUCUUGCUGGAAGGAUUCAUUUUUCUGAGGCUUGAGCAGUGCCUUGUCCAGGAUUCUGUUCUUCCUUGGGUCCUUGGAUUCUCACACUGCUGUCGUUUUUCCUGUUCAGUCCUAAUCCAGACCUCUGUGAUCUGUCACAUAGCACCCUCCUCCCUCUCUGUGAGUCUCCUGCUUGGCUCUGUCAUAUUCCUCUUUUUUUUCCUUUUCUAGAAAGAAAAGUCAAAAUCGAACAGUUCAGCAGCCCGAGAACCUAAUGGCUUUCCCUCUGAUGCCUCAGCCAAUUCCUCUCUCCUUCUUGAAUUCCAGGACGAAAACAGCAACCAGAGUUCCGUGUCUGACGUCUAUCAGCUUAAGGUGGACAGCAGCACCAACUCAAGCCCCAGCCCCCAGCAGAGUGAGUCCCUGAGCCCAGCACACACCUCCGACUUCCGCACGGAUGACUCCCAGCCCCCAACCCUGGGCCAGGAGAUCCUGGA